rnacentral:lncRNA from 1 species
UAAAACUUUUAUUUGACCAAUAAUGCCUAAUAACCCAAAUACAUUCAAAUGAAUCAGUCAGAAUCAUGUGGCAAAUACAUCAUUCUAAAAAAAAAACAUUUUAAAUCUAAAUCUCGACAAGAAUUUUAGCACUGUAUGUACUUCCGAUUUUAUCACACCUGAGGGCGCUAGAGCCCAACCCAUCUUCUCCAGCGUCAUCACAACUGACUGGGUCGCCCUGCCUUCUAGUGGCCACUGUGCGAACAUAAAAGCCCACCUGCUCUGAGCUGUGUGUUGCAACUCAAAACAAAAGCGAUCAGAAAAGGUCGUGAAUGUCGUCAGUGUUUUUGGGUCACUCUUGGCUCCUGGACAGCUGCAGCAGGCGCACGCACCUUUCCUCUCUGGACAGUGCACGGCUCCUCCACUCCCCUCAUUGGCUGCGCAGCACACAGACCUGUUCCUCAGCCAGCCCAGCCACCACCGCUACUGCUGCUACUGCUGCCGCCGCUGGGACGAGACUUGACUUACUUUGUCUUUUGUCAUCGGACGGGCCGCGUCCAGCUUCGACUGUUGGGCUCCCUGUUCCCUCGCUCCGAUGAUUGGCAACCCUGAGAGGUGACCGGUGUGAACUGAGUUGGAAUGCAGGAUUACCUUCUGACCUUAACCUAGGAGAGGCUGAGGGACCCAGACCACUAGAUGUAACGUUUUCUAAGUUGUGUUGCACUACGAUGCAUUUAAAAUGUCUACAAUGACGC